AUGCGGGAGCGGAGGGAGGAGAAGGACUCCAUGGCGUCCCGCAGUUUCUUGCGCAGGCCGGCCACGACGGAGGUGCGGGUGCGGUCCGUGGAGGAGCCCGGCCCGCACCCGGCCACGGAGCGGUUGGCGGCGUUGGCCCGGUCGAGCGACUCGAGGCGGAGCUUGACGACCUUGGCCUUCUUGAUGGCGGCGGCGACGUCGGCGUCCAUGCGGGAGCGGAGCGCGCGCACGGCGGAGGCGUCGUGGAGCGACUUGCCCGACUCGUUGCCGUCGUGGAGGGAGCGCUGGAUCCGCUCCAGCUCCCGCAGGUCGUCCUUGAUGGACUCCACGUCCUCGAAGAAGCGGUCCAGGCUCGCCCCCGCCGCGGCGCCCGGCGGCGCCGUCAUCUCCACGCCGCCGCCGCCGCCGCCGGACUCGAGGUCCCCGCCGUCGCCCCCCGCGCCCGCGCGCUUCCACGAGCUGGAGAAGAGGUUGUUCAUGGCUGCUGCUGCCGGCGGCUCAGGCAAGGGUCGAUGGAUCGGUCUGUACGCCGGCUUCUUGAUUCUCCUGGAUGGGUGGAGGUCCUGGCGCGGUUUCUUGGACGGGGAGAAGCGGAGUGGACAAGGGAGGAAGAAGGGGUUAGUUACUUAA
rnacentral:rRNA from 1 species